GACGAACGCUGGCGGCGUGCCUAAUACAUGCAAGUCGAGCGGACAGACGGGAGCUUGCUCCCUGAUGUUAGCGGCGGACGGGUGAGUAACACGUGGGUAACCUGCCUGUAAGACUGGGAUAACUCCGGGAAACCGGGGCUAAUACCGGAUGGUUGUCUGAACCGCAUGGUUCAGACAUAAAAGGUGGCUUCGGCUACCACUUACAGAUGGACCCGCGGCGCAUUAGCUAGUUGGUGAGGUAACGGCUCACCAAGGCAACGAUGCGUAGCCGACCUGAGAGGGUGUUCGGCCACACUGGGACUGAGACACGGCCCAGACUCCUACGGGAGGCAGCAGUAGGGAAUCUUCCGCAAUGGACGAAAGUCUGACGGAGCAACGCCGCGUGAGUGAUGAAGGUUUUCGGAUCGUAAAGCUCUGUUGUUAGGGAAGAACAAGUGCCGUUCAAAUAGGGCGGCACCUUGACGGUACCUAACCAGAAAGCCACGGCUAACUACGUG
rnacentral:rRNA from 1 species